AGACAGCAGCCGCCGCGGUAAUACGUAGGUCCCGAGCGUUGUCCGGAUUUAUUGGGCGUAAAGCGAGCGCAGGCGGUUAGAUAAGUCUGAAGUUAAAGGCUGUGGCUUAACCAUAGUACGCUUUGGAAACCGUUUAACUUGAGUGCAGAAGGGGAGAGUGGAAUUCCAUGUGUAGCGGUGAAAUGCGUAGAUAUAUGGAGGAACACCGGUGGCGAAAGCGGCUCUCUGGUCUGUAACUGACGCUGAGGCUCGAAAGCGUGGGGAGCGAACAGGAUUAGAUACCCGUGUAGUCCCUGUCUCUUAUACA
rnacentral:rRNA from 1 species